UACGUAGGGGGCGAGCGUUGUCCGGAUUUAUUGGGCGUAAAGAGCGUGUAGGCGGCCAGGUAGGUCUGCUGUGAAAACUCGAGGCUCAACCUCGAGACGUCGGCGGAAACCAUCUGGCUAGAGUCCGGAAGAGGAGAGUGGAAUUCCUGGUGUAGCAGUGAAAUGCGUAGAUAUCAUGAGGAAUACCAGAGGCGAAGGCGGCUACCUGGACAAUUGCUGACGCUCAGGCACGAAAGCGUGGGGAGCAAAAGGG
rnacentral:rRNA from 1 species